CUGGCUCUCUUGGAACAUUAUCUAAGCUAUAUCUGUUCUUAUCAAUCUAAUAUCUGAUAUGUUCUUAAUUUAAGGACUGUAUAUUAAACUGAUUUUUGAAACAGGGAGAUGGAGUAGGAGCUUGCUCUGUCCACCCCAUGCAUUGAACUGGUACUGCAGUGUCUCCAAACAAAAUAAAAAGAUA
ensembl:snRNA U2 U2 spliceosomal RNA